GGUUCGGGAGCCUCCCACUGGGACGGGGGGCAUGAAUGGAACCAACGCCCAAUCGCCACUCGGCGCGCGCACGGCCCCCCAACUGGGCGCGCU
rnacentral:ncRNA from 1 species